rnacentral:rRNA from 1 species
UGGGGAAUAUUGCACAAUGGGCGCAAGCCUGAUGCAGCCAUGCCGCGUGUGUGAAGAAGGCCUUCGGGAUGUAAAGCACUUUCAGCGGGGAGGAAGGCGUUAAGGUUAAUAACCUUGGCGAUUGACGUUACCCGCAGAAGAAGCACCGGCUAACUCCGUGCCAGCAGCCGCGGUAAUACGGAGGGUGCAAGCGUUAAUCGGAAUUACUGGGCGUAAAGCGCACGCAGGCGGUCUGUCAAGUCGGAUGUGAAAUCCCCGGGCUCAACCUGGGAACUGAAUUCGAAACUGGCAGGCUAGAGUCUUGUAGAGGGGGGUAAAAUUCCAGGUGUAGCGGUGAAAUGCGUAGAGAUCUGGAGGAAUACCUGUGGCGAAGGCGGCCCCCUGGACAAAGACUGACGCUCAGGUGCGAAAGCGGGGGGAGCAAACAGG